rnacentral:rRNA from 1 species
GCCAGUAGCCAUAGCACCUGCAGGUCAGACUGGGUAACUUGCCUGGAGCUGAGCAGGUUUGGGCCUGGCCAGUAGCUGGAUGGGAGACCAACAAGGAAAGCUGGGUUGUUGCUGGAA